AUGCUUUCCAUGGCGAACCAGCUAGAGCCUAGAGCACCAUGGUGGCUGAAACACAAGAUCCUCAUCCUGACAGGCAUGGCCCUAAUCCUCGCCGCCAGCACUGUUAUCAUAGUCACCUGCAUCAUCCUCAGCCCCGCGCACAUCCACUUCUCCAUCACGGCGGCUAACAGUACAAACAGCACCAUGGACGGCGAGAACGGGCUGUCCUUCAACUUCACCCUCGCCGUCGACAACCCCAGCCGCCGCGCAGGGGUGGACUAUAGGGAAGUCAUCGUGAGCCUGCAGCUCCCCAGUAAGCGCUUGAAGAACAACUCGGUGCCGGCGACGGUGAAUGGAUCCAUGCCGCUGUACCAGCCGCGCCACAGCCACAUAUCCAUGGCCGUGGCAGCGUUCGUGGAGAAGGACUUGUUGGACCUUUACCUGAAGAAGUUCUACAGAGGCCAUCCGACGUUGACAAUCAUGGUCACAGCACUGGUCCGUUUCAAGGUUGGGGUGGCCUACUCCAGGCUCUAUGACAUUACGGUCUACUGCCCGCCCGUCGUCUUCUUCGACGUCUUCCAGGACGGCAACUUCAGUUAUCAUUUUGCCAAGGGCAACGCCAAUUGCUCUGCCUGA
rnacentral:rRNA from 1 species